rnacentral:rRNA from 1 species
GAUGAACGCUGGCGGCGUGCCUAAUACAUGCAAGUCGAGCGAACAGACGAGGAGCUUGCUCCUCUGACGUUAGCGGCGGACGGGUGAGUAACACGUGGAUAACCUACCUAUAAGACUGGGAUAACUUCGGGAAACCGGAGCUAAUACCGGAUAAUAUAUUGAACCGCAUGGUUCAAUAGUGAAAGACGGUUUUGCUGUCACUUAUAGAUGGAUCCGCGCCGCAUUAGCUAGUUGGUAAGGUAACGGCUUACCAAGGCAACGAUGCGUAGCCGACCUGAGAGGGUGAACGGCCACACGGGAAGUGAGACACGGUCCAGACUCCUACGGGAGGCGGCAGUAGGGAAUCGUCCGCAAUGGGCGAAAGCUUGACGGAGCAACGCCGCGUGAGUGAUGAAGGGCUUCGGAUCGUAAAACUCUGUUAUUAGGGAAGAACAAAUGUGUAAGUAACUAUGCACGUCUUGACGGUACCUAAUCAGAAAGCCACGGCUAACUACGUG